AACGAACGCUGGCGGCAGGCCUAACACAUGCAAGUCGAGCGCGCCCUUCGGGGUGAGCGGCGGACGGGUGAGUAACGCGUGGGAACGUGCCCUUUUCUACGGAAUAGCCUCGGGAAACUGAGAGUAAUACCGUAUACGCCCUUUGGGGGAAAGAUUUAUCGGAAAAGGAUCGGCCCGCGUUGGAUUAGGUAGUUGGUGGGGUAAUGGCCUACCAAGCCGACGAUCCAUAGCUGGUUUGAGAGGAUGAACAGCCACACUGGGACUGAGACACGGCCCAGACACCUACGGGAGGAAGGAGGGGGGAAUCUUAGACAAUGGGGGCAACCCGGAGCUAGCCAUGCCGCGUGAGUGAUGAAGGCCUUAGGGUUGUAAAGCUCUUUCAGCUGGGAAGAUAAUGACGGUACCAGCAGAAGAAGCCCCGGCUAACUCCGUG
rnacentral:rRNA from 1 species